UACAGAGGGUGCAAGCGUUGCUCGGAAUUAUUGGGCGUAAAGGGUAGGUAGGUGGUCUCGUUUGUCUGUGGUGAAAGCCUUGGGCUUAACCCAAGAAGUGCCGCAGAAACGGCGAGACUAGAGUUCUGGAGAGGGUCGUGGAAUUCCCGGUGUAGCGGUGAAAUGCGUAGAGAUCGGGAAGAACAUCAGUGGCGAAGGCGGUCUGCUGGGCCGUUGCUGACGCUGAGGCGCGACAGCGUGGGGAGCAAACAGG
rnacentral:rRNA from 1 species